GAAUAUUGGACAAUGGGGGCAACCCUGAUCCAGCCAUGCCGCGUGGGUGAAGAAGGCCUUUUGGUUGUAAAGCACUUUAAGCAGUGAAGAAGACUCUAUGGUUAAUACGCAUGGACGAUGACAUUAGCUGCAGAAUAAGCACCGCCUAACUCUGUGCCAGCAGCCGCGGUAAUAAAGAGGGCGCAAGCGUUAAUCGGAAUUACUGGGCGUAAAGCGAGCGUAGGUGGCUUGAUAAGUCAGAUGGGAAAUCACCGGGCUUAACCUGGGAACUGCAUCUGAUAAUGUGAGGCUAGGAUAGGUGAGAGGAAGGUAGAAUUCCAGGUGUAGCGGUGAAAUGCGUAGAGAUCUGGAGGAAUACCGAUGGCGAAGGCAGCCUUCUGGCAUCAUAUUGACACUGAGGUUCGAAAGCGUGGGUAGCAAAC
rnacentral:rRNA from 1 species